UACGUAGGGGGCUAGCGUUGUCCGGAAUCAUUGGGCGUAAAGCGCGUGUAGGCGGCCCGGUAAGUCCGCUGUGAAAGUCGGGGGCUCAACCCUCGGAAGCCGGUGGAUACUGUCGGGCUCGAGUACGGAAGAGGCGAGUGGAAUUCCUGGUGUGGCGGUGAAAUGCGCAGAUAUCAGGAGGAACACCUAUUGCGAAGGCAGCUCGCUGGGACGUAACUGACGCUGAGACGCGAAAGCGUGGGGAGCAAACAGG
rnacentral:rRNA from 1 species